UACGAAGGGGGAGCUAGCGUUGCUCGGAAUCACUGGGCGUAAAGGGUGCGUAGGCGGGUCUUUAAGUCAGGGGUGAAAUCCUGGAGCUCAACUCCAGAACUGCCUUUGAUACUGAAGAUCUUGAGUUCGGGAGAGGUGAGUGGAACUGCGAGUGUAGAGGUGAAAUUCGUAGAUAUUCGCAAGAACACCAGUGGCGAAGGCGGCUCACUGGCCCGAUACUGACGCUGAGGCACGAAAAGCGUGGGGGAGCAAACAGGG
rnacentral:rRNA from 1 species